rnacentral:rRNA from 1 species
CAGUCGCCACGGUAAUACGAGGGGGGCAAGCGUUGUUCGAAAUUAUUGGGCGUAAAGGGUGCGUAGGCGGUUUGAUAAGUCAUCUGUGAAAUCUCUGGGCUCAACCCAGAGUCUGCAGGCGAAACUGUCGAGCUUGAGUAUUGGAGAGGUGAGUGGAAUUUCCGGUGUAGCGGUGAAAUGCGUAGAUAUCGGAAGGAACACCUGUGGCGAAAGCGGCUCACUGGACAAUUACUGACGCUGAUGCACGAAAGCUAGGGGAGCAAACAGGAUUAGAUACCCCGGUAGUCCCUGUCUCUUAUAC